UCACUGGCGGUCCAGUGGUUAGGACUCGGGACUUUCAGUGCUGUGGGCCCAGGUUCGAUUCCUGGUCAGGGAA
rfam:TPA: Bos taurus chromosome 9, whole genome shotgun sequence.